UACAGAGGUCUCAAGCGUUGUUCGGAUUCAUUGGGCGUAAAGGGUGCGUAGGUGGCGGGGUAAGUCAGGUGUGAAAUUUCGGAGCUCAACUCCGAAACUGCAUUUGAUACUGCCUUGCUUGAGGACUGGAGAGGAGACUGGAAUUCACGGUGUAGCAGUGAAAUGCGUAGAUAUCGUGAGGAACACCAGUGGCGAAGGCGGCUUCCUGGCCUGUUCUUGACGCUGAGGCGCGAAAGCUAGGGGAGCAAACGGG
rnacentral:rRNA from 1 species